AUCCCUGGUUGGUGAUACUUCCUUUGUAGAAUUUAUUCUGUGAGCCUGGCUUUUUAGAGACAGGAAAUAAAAGAUUUCCUCGUGGCUUUUAGUAACAGCAAAGAGGAAUCCUUUCCACUGCGGCUCAGAACAAGCUGGUCAGACAGCACAAAGUGAUACAAUUCUCAGGAAGGUGCUCACCACACACAGUUGCUAAGUUUCUAGUUUUCCACCUACUGAAGAAGUGCAAGUAACAUCUGAUCAACUGUAGCUUAAGAUCCAGGGACUCUGCUCACAAGGAGAUUCUUGAGGAUGAUAACAGAUGGGGGCUUCCAUCUGGACCAGAAUAGCACUGAAGGUUGGAAGACUUGUUGGUCUCAGCGUGGUACAUCCCACACUGCAAAGCAUUCACCAAGAUGUUCAGCAGACUGAACUUUAUGUGCAAGGGGCCCCAUCCACUGAAAUAGCUUCUUGAUUAGUGCUUUUGACUCAGCUUAUCUGCCAGGAAUCCCCAGGAAGGAAGGAAGGAAGGAAAGAAGAAUAUCCUCUUGCUCCUCUGUACCUCCUCAUAUUACAACUCAACACUCUGCUUUGAUGCUUUGCUCUAAGAAAUCCUUGGUCCACAGCUAGAAGAUAUCAGCAGAGUUCUGUUCCUCAGCACUGGAAUGUGAAAACUCCGAUAAAAAGCCAUUGUCUGUCUUCACUUUUGUGUAGGCUGAGCAUUUACUGCAAAAGACUGCAGUGGCUUUUCCAAGUCUUGCUUCUUCCAGAAUGUCUAUCUGCACCUACCCCUACACACAUUAGCAGUUCCACUGCCCAGGUCCUCCCGAGCUGCUGAGCUGCAGGCACAGAGGUCGGUCUUCAGCCAGCACAACACUCAGGCACCGAUGUUCCCAAUAGCACUGUUCUGCUGGGAAGAAAACUGAGAGUGGUGGAAAAACAACAUGCCCAGAAAAGGAACCUGCCCUUUCUCUUAUUCUGAAAACAAGAAAGCUGUGGAUUUGUUUCAUCAGCAUAACCCAAAAACAGCUGACAUCAUGUCUUUGAAUACCAAGGCCAAGGGGCAGAGGAUUCUAUGCAAAGGAGGAACAGCUCAGGGAACAUAUUAGCAAGGGACACUACAACUUGUAUUUUCUUACAAUCUAUUCCUGCUAUUUCUGCUAUUUCCCAAACAAAUUGUCUUUCUAGCAUUUAAAAAGCUAAAGACUGUAAUAUGAAAGGUUACAAAGCAAUAAAGAGAAAAGCU
rnacentral:lncRNA from 7 species